UACAGAGGUGGCAAGCGUUGUUCGGUAUCACUGGGCUUAAAGGGCGCGUAGGCGGCGCGGUACGGUCUGGGUGAAAUCCCUCGGCUCAACCGAGGAAUUGCCUGGGCAACGGCCGUGCUAGACAGCAUCAGGGGAAGGUGGAACUCCCGGUGGAGCGGUGAAAUGCGUAGAUAUCGGGAGGAACGCCGGUGGCGAAAGCGACCUUCUGGGGUGCUUGUGACGCUGAGGCGCGAAAGCUAGGGGAGCAAACGGG
rnacentral:misc_RNA from 1 species